UACGGGGGGAGCAAGCGUUGUUCGGAUUUACUGGGCGUAAAGGGCGCGUAGGCGGCGCGACAAGUCACUUGUGAAAUCUCCGGGCUUAACUCGGUAGAGGCCAAGUGAUACUGUCGUGCUUGAGUGCGGAAGGGGCAACCGGAAUUCUUGGUGUAGCGGUGAAAUGCGUAGAUAUCAAGAGGAACACCUGCGGCGAAGGCGGGUUGCUGGGCCGACACUGACGCUGAGGCGCGAAAGCUAGGGGAGCGAACGGG
rnacentral:rRNA from 1 species